rnacentral:rRNA from 1 species
CGGGUGCACUGAUCCAGCCGGGCCUUUCCCUCUGUGGAACCCCAUGGCCUUCACUGGCUGUGGUGGGGAAACAGGACUUUUACUUUGAAAAAAUUAGAGUGCUCCAGGCAGGCCUAUGCUCGAAUACAUUAGCAUGGAAUAAUAGAAUAGGACGUGUGGUUCUAUUUUGUUGGUUUCUAGGACUGCCGUAAUGAUUAAUAGGGACAGUCGGGGGCAUCAGUAUUCAAUUGUCAGAGGUGAAAUUCUUGGAUCUAUUGAAGACUAACUACUGCGAAAGCAUUUGCCAAGGAUGUUUUCAUUGAUAAGGAACGAAAGUUAGGGGAUCGAAGACGAUCAGAUACCGUCGUAGUCUUAACUAUAAACUAUGCCGACUAGGGAUCGGACGAUGUUAUUCUUUGACGCGUUCGGCACCUUUCGAGAAAUCAAAGUGCUUGGGCUCCAGGGGGAGUAUGGUCGCAAGGCUGAAACUUAAAGAAAUUGACGGAAGGGCACCACCAGGGGUGGAACCUGCGGCUUAAUUUGACUCAACACGGGGAAACUCACCAGGUCCAGACACAGUGAGGAUUGACAGAUUGAGAGCUCUUUCUUGAUUCUGUGGGUGGUGGUGCAUGGCCGUUCUUAGUUGGUGGAGUGAUUUGUCUGCUUAAUUGCGAUAACGAACGAGACCUUAACCUGCUAAAUAGCCCGUACUGCUUUGGCAGUUCGCCGGCUUCUUAGAGGGACUAUCGG